rnacentral:rRNA from 1 species
GACGAACGCUGGCGGCGUGCCUAAUACAUGCAAGUUGAGCGCUGAAGGUUGGUACUUGUACCAACUGGAUGAGCAGCGAACGGGUGAGUAACGCGUGGGGAAUCUGCCUUUGAGCGGGGGACAACAUUUGGAAACGAAUGCUAAUACCGCAUAAAAACUUUAAACACAAGUUUUAAGUUUGAAAGAUGCAAUUGCAUCACUCAAAGAUGAUCCCGCGUUGUAUUAGCUAGUUGGUGAGGUAAAGGCUCACCAAGGCGAUGAUACAUAGCCGACCUGGGAGGGUGAUCGGCCACAUUGGGACUGGGACACGGCCCAAACUCCUACGGGAGGCAGCAGUAGGGAAUCUUCGGCAAUGGACGAAAGUCUGACCGAGCAACGCCGCGUGAGUGAAGAAGGUUUUCGGAUCGUAAAACCCUGUUGGUAGAGAAGAACGUUGGUGAGAGUGGAAAGCUCAUCAAGUGACGGUAACUACCCAGAAAGGGACGGCUAACUACGUG